rnacentral:misc_RNA from 1 species
GGGAUGAAGAUCUGAAAGUAUGAGCUCAUUCUGAUUAUAAGCUCGAGUCAACUGCUAUAGAUUGUAUAGUCCAUUCUUACUGAUUAAAUUUACAUUCUUCCUCGCAUGAUAUUUAUAACCCUAGGUGACGUUUUGUCAAUUAAAGAAACACAAAUUCCAAAUCAAGUUCAACAGUCGUAGAACAAACCAUACGUACAAGUGUAUAUGGGGGGUGCACAAGUAAGCCCCUGAUGUUGCUCCGGAGCUGUGUUGGUCCUCGGAGCUUCUUAAGAUGAUAGCACAACGAAAGAUGUAAAUGUACAAUGAGUAUACACAGCAAGAUUGGAGUAUCCAUAGCCUGUAUUAUAGGUUUCCUCAGCUCCAUGUUAGGGCAUACAUAUAUCCAAUCCAGGUCAAGGAUUCACACUACUUGGUCUUCUCUAGAAAAGAUGGCAUAGACUUUUUUCAGUCAAGAUAAACUUUGAUGUCGAUACCAUUAUCAAUGAGGGACUGAACAACUGCUCUAAUUUUCCCUUCGAACUUGUCCCUAUCUCUAGGUGUAUAAGAAGCAGUGUAUACAUCAGCCUCUCUUGCCCUGUCGGACAAAAUCUGUCCGACAGACAAGCAUGCAGGAAUAUCACUUCGUGAUUUGAGCACUGCCUUGAUAUCUUUGGAGUUUGUACCAGCUACGGCAACCUGUUUGCAUGUAACUCUAUGGGUGAUUGAGGCUGAAACAAAGCGCUUUGAUAUGAAAACAUCAAGUGUGAACGGUUCCAUGUAUGCUACAGUCCGUUGCUUGAAAGAAACAUGCUUGUUUGGGUUCUUAGAUUUUUUCCCCUUCUGGUAAGUGUAUGGACGGCUAUUGUCAUCAUCAACGAAAUCUUCCACCCCGAAAAAGCUUCUAGGUGCCAAACUAGGCUUUGAAGUAUGAAAGCCACUAAUUUGCGCACAUAGAAAAGACCUCAUCUUCUGACCUCCUUGAGCGCACAACAUUUCAGAAACUAGUUUCAGCAUACCCUGACCUUUCACCUCAAAAUCGCCGGUUUCUCUUACUCCUCUUUCUUCAUUGAAC